rnacentral:lncRNA from 1 species
AGUCACCUUCUCCCCUUGGCCUGAUUCCUAACUUUCCCUGGCAAAAAACGGAAUGCUGCUUCAAGAUCUGGAUGGAGUGACCUUAUAAGGAUAAAGUCAGUCUUCCUUGAGUGAUCCAAAGGCAGUGUGCGUCCCUCUAACUGGUCCUCACAUCAGCACUCAGGUAUUAUUCUCCCUUUGUUAUGAGUAGAAACUGAGACUGAAGGUCAUGCAGCUAACAUAUAGAUGUAUAGAAUUUUCAAUCCAGUUAUAGUCUGUUGGCAACAGGUCCACCUUGGCCCCUGGAGCCCUACCUCCACUAGUUUGUUCUGCAUGCCAGUGUGGCCAGCUCACAAGGCCAUGGCGAACUUGCGGUUUUUUUGUUCCUGCUUGUCCGUCUGAGACAUAUGUAUCCCACGGGAAUGCCUUGACCUUUUCUGGUCUGAUGGACUUAUUGUUAAGGGAGGUUUCAGUACCUGACAAUAAUAGAUGUUGAAACUAAAUUUCUCCCCCCUCCCUCCUGCUUUUGGGUAGUUUUCCACUUCUGCUGCUUGGG